AUGUCUAAACUGAGCUUUUCCUCUAAGCAAUCUACUGAGACAGAGAAGCACUGAGUUUGUGGCUCCUGCCGCUAUAUCCUGGGGGUUUACUUCCAUCUGGAAGACAACAUCCACUGAAAGUCAAGAUGCACUUAGAAAGGCUUUCAUGUGUUCCCAAUUGCACUGAUCCUAUGCACUACUGUGAUACUGGGGAACAAAUGAGUACUGAUACAGAUCAGUAUACAACAGAUGCAGAGUGGGAAGGUGUUUUAGUCUACAAGAAAAAAACAUCUUGCUCCAGAGAAAAAGAAGAUACUCAACAAAAUUAAGUAGAAGACUGUGCUAAAGCAAUAUUCGUUACAGGUCAUCUCAACUAUAAUGUUAUCCAAAAAGUAACAUUAAAAAUUACCUAGUUGUAUCUUCAGAUUUACCUAUAUGUCAACAAAAUCUCCAAAUAAACUUCUGUCCUUGGAGUCAAAGCUACAGUCCUUUCUGCAGCUUGAUUUCUCUUCACCUGAGCUCCAAGACAGCCUGAUGUAGGCUAAAGACUGUUUUCAGAUUCAGUGAUUCCUCCUGAUUGCACCAUCCUGGGAUUAGCGCUACCUCACGUUGACCAAGUUCAGGCCGCAUGAAGAACAUGGCAGACUGUGCAGAAGACUGUAAAAUAGAAGACUCCUUGGGCUGAGGCCAGAAGUGGUUUUUCAAGAAACUCUGGAAACACUUCAUGGCCACCUCUUCUACGCUAAAAAGAUGACUGUAACUAUGCUCCCAUACCAUCUGGGAAUAAAACAUAAUAUUCCUCACUUAGAUGAGCAUCCACGUCACCACAGGCAAACUUGGAGGACUCAGUGUGGUUAUUACCUCCUGUCCUGGUGGAAAUAAAACUUCAAAUGCUCAGAUCUAACCUUCCUCUGGGUCAACAGGAAUGGUGCUGAGCAUUUUACCGGGUUUAUGGCACAGGUAGGCAACAGAGGAAUGCAGCUAUACAAAACAGCUCACAACACGUACUAACUAAUAAUUUUCCAUCUUAAGAUUGAACACAGGCAAAUGAAAGUCUAUGUUAUUUACUCUUGAACCCAGGCCAAGACUUCAAACUUAAGAUACAAAUUCCACUCAU